rnacentral:rRNA from 1 species
GACGGACGCUGGCGGUGUGCUUAACACAUGCAAGUCGAACGGUAAGGCCCUUUCGGGGGUACACGAGUGGCGAACGGGUGAGUAACACGUGAGUAACCUGCCCUCAUCUCUGGGAUAACAGUCGGAAACGGUUGCUAAUACUGGAUAUGAGCUUGCAAGGCAUCUUGUGGGUUGGAAAGAUUUUUUUGGUUGGGGAUGGACUCGCGGCCUAUCAGCUUGUUGGUGAGGUAGUGGCUCACCAAGGCUUCGACGGGUAGCCGGCCUGAGAGGGCGACCGGCCACAUUGGGACUGAGAUACGGCCCAAACUCCUACGGGAGGCAGCAGUGGGGAAUAUUGCACAAUGGACGGGAGUCUGAUGCAGCAACGCCGCGUGCGGGAUGACGGCCUUCGGGUUGUAAACCGCUUUCAAUUGUGACGAAGCUUUUUGUGACGGUAGCAGUAGAAGAAGCACCGGCUAACUACGUG